rnacentral:rRNA from 1 species
CCCUUAGAUGUUCUGGGCCGCACGCGCGCUACACUGGUGCGUUCAACAAGUUUACAACCUUGAUUGACAAGUCUGGGUAAUCUUUUGAAUGCGCACCGUGCUAGGGAUAGAUUAUUGCAAUUAUUAAUCUUGAACGAGGAAUUCCUAGUAAACGCAAGUCAUCAGCUUGCAUUGAUUACGUCCCUGCCCUUUGUACACACCGCCCGUCGCACCUACCGAUUGAACGGUCCGGUGAAAUCUUGGGAUUUGCAUGUUGUUGAUUGAUUUCAUGGCGUGCGAAGAACUUGAGUAAACCUUACCGUUUAGAGGAAGGUGAAGUCGUAACA